rnacentral:rRNA from 1 species
AGAGUUUGAUCAUGGCUCAGGACGAACGUUAGCGGCACGCCUAACACAUGCAAGUCGCACGAGAAAGGGCUUCGGCCCCGUAAAGUGGCGCACGGGUGAGUAACACGUGGGUAAUCUACCUUCGGAUGGGGGAUAACACUUCGAAAGGGGUGCUAAUACCGCAUAAGCUCACGACCUCUUCGGGGGUUGGGAGAAAAGCAGGCCUCUCCUUGGAAGCUUGUGUCUGAAGAUGAGCCCGCGGCCCAUCAGUUAGUUGGCAGGGUAAUGGCCUACCAAGACGAAGACGGGUAGCUGGUCUGAGAGGAUGAUCAGCCACACUGGAACUGAGACACGGUCCAGACUCCUACGGGAGGCAGCAGUGGGGAAUCUUGCGCAAUGGGCGAAAGCCUGACGCAGCGAUGCCGCGUGAGUGAUGAAGGCCUUCGGGUUGUAAAGCUCUGUGGGGAGAGAAGAAUAAGUCGUGGCGAAUAUCCACGGUGAUGACGGUAUCUCCUUAGCAAGCACCGGCUAACUCUGUGCCAGCAGCCGCGGUAAGACAGAGGGUGCAAACGUUGUUCGGAAUUACUGGGCGUAAAGCGAGUGUAGGCGGUGAAGUAAGUCGGACGUGAAAGCCCGGGGCUCAACCUCGGAAGUGCGCUCGAUACUGCUUCGCUUGAGUGUCGGAGAGGUUGGUGGAAUUCUCGGUGUAGAGGUGAAAUUCGUAGAUAUCGAGAGGAACACCGGUGGC